rnacentral:rRNA from 1 species
AUUGAACGCUGGCGGCAGGCCUAACACAUGCAAGUCUGACGAGUGUCGGUCGGGUGAGUAAUGUCUUGGAAACUGCCUGAUUGCUGUGUGUAACUCCUGGAAACGGUAGCUAAUUCCGCAUACCUUCUGAUGUGCCCAAAUGUGAUUAGCUCCUUGGUGGGGUAACGGCUCACCAAGGCGACGAUCCCUCGCUGGUCUGAGAGGAUGACCAGCCACACUGGAACGGAGAAACGGUCCAGACUCCGACGGGAGGCAGAAGUGGGGAAUAGGGCACAAUGGGCGCAAGCCUGAUGCAGCCAGGCCGCGUGUAUGAAGAAGGCCUUCGGGUUGUAAAGUACUUUCAGCGGGGAGGAGUGAACCGCAGAAGAAGCACCGGCUAACUCCGUGCCAGCAGCCGCGGUAAUUC